rnacentral:tRNA from 13 species
GCCGCCAUGGCGGAACUGGUAGACGCAGGGGACUUAAAAUCCCCCGGAGUUAAACCCGUGCCGGUUCGAUUCCGGCUGGCGGCACCA